CCGAAUUCUCCGACACAGAGUUUGAUCCUGGCUCAGAUUGAACGCUGGCGGCAGGCCUAACACAUGCAAGUCGAGCGGAUGAUGGGAGCUUGCUCCCGGAUUCAGCGGCGGACGGGUGAGUAAUGCCUAGGAAUCUGCCUGGUAGUGGGGGACAACGUUUCGAAAGGAACGCUAAUACCGCAUACGUCCUACGGGAGAAAGCAGGGGACCUUCGGGCCUUGCGCUAUCAGAUGAGCCUAGGUCGGAUUAGCUAGUUGGUGGGGUAAAGGCCUACCAAGGCGACGAUCCGUAACUGGUCUGAGAGGAUGAUCAGUCACACUGGAACUGAGACACGGUCCAGACUCCUACGGGAGGCAGCAGUGGGGAAUAUUGGACAAUGGGCGAAAGCCUGAUCCAGCCAUGCCGCGUGUGUGAAGAAGGUCUUCGGAUUGUAAAGCACUUUAAGUUGGGAGGAAGGGCAGUAAGUUAAUACCUUGCUGUUUUGACGUUACCAACAGAAUAAGCACCGGCUAACUUCGUGCCAGCAGCCGCGGUAAUACGAAGGGUGCAAGCGUUAAUCGGAAUUACUGGGCGUAAAGCGCGCGUAGGUGGUUUGGUAAGAUGGAUGUGAAAUCCCCGGGGCUCACCUGGGAACUGCAUCCAUAACUGCCUGACUAGAGUACGGUAGAGGGUGGGGG
rnacentral:rRNA from 1 species